GAGAGCUACUUCCGGUAGGGGAGGGGGAAUGCGAGCAGAGUUCUGGAUGCAGUAGAGAGGGAGCUACCUGGAGAUGGAGGAUGAAUAUUCAUGCACAGGCCUUGGGGGCUGCAACAUCUCUGGCACAAUGCUGAGCAUCAGGGCUCUAAAGACUUGGCCAUGAAAAAAGCUGAAGUCCCCAGAAGAAGAGAUAAGACUUGUACUACAAGGCUGUCCAUCAAGAAAAGACAUGAAAGAGAUUGAAAAAAAGACGGCUGCAGGUGCAGCCAGGAGUCCCUGGAAUAUGCAGAAUAUAUAUGUGCAUCCCUCACACAGUGAUGUCAGCCACACUUUUCUACAAGUACUUGACUUGGCUGUUUUUGGCUUGAGCCCAGUGGACUCAUACACCCGAAGACACCAUCAGCAGAUGACUAUUAACAUGAGAAUGAGCCAUGCUUUGUGCUUGCUUGUUUGCUCUUUGUGGAUUUCCUUUGUCUUGCUAUUUAGCAUAAACUCUUUGGAAAGUUUUCUCUACCCAGAACCACCCCCUCGAGACCUAGACCUCGUGUUUACCUCUGAAUGACAGCUGAUAUUGCACAACCUCUAGCUUUAUCUCCAAACCAUCAUAUACAGUUUGAAAUACAAUUCAAAAUAUUUGCAACAGAUACAAUUUUAAAAGGGUCCAUAUCCUUCACAUUCUUCUUCUGGAUCUUGUUCUAAAUGUAUUUGAAAAUAUGACAAACUCUUACAAAUUCAUUUUUUUAAAGCCCAGGAGAAAAAUUAACCAAGCAUGUAAUUAAAUACUUUUCAAGAGAAAAAAUAGUAAUUGUAAAUAAACAUAUCUUAAAAGGUUGGGCUGGGCAUGUUGGCUCAUAUCUGUAAUCCCACCACUUUGGGAGGUCAAGGUGAGUGGAUUACUUGAGCCCAAGAGUUUGAGACCAGGUUGGGCAACAUAGUGAGACCCCAUGUCUACAAAAAUUAAAAAAAAAAAAAUUAGCCAGGCUUGAUGGCAUGCACCUGUUGUCCCAGCUACCUGGGAGGCUGAGGCAGGAGGACUGUUUGAGCCCAGGAGGCCAAGGCUGCACUGUAACAGCAUCAAUGCAUCACAGCCUGGGCCACAGGGAGAGGCCUUGUCUCCAAAACAGAAACAAAGAACAAGAGAUUGAUUUUAUGAACAAUAAAGAAGAUGUAAAGUAUAAGAAGAAGGAAACAGGUUUUUCUUUUCAGAUUGACAAAUAGUAUAAAGAAAGACACUAUGCAGAACAAUGGAGGGCUGUGCGAAUUUCUGCUGUCAUUCACUGGGGGCGGGAGCCUCUCUGAAGGGCAGUUUGUUUCAAAUUGUUUUCCUCUGAAAAGAAAAAGAAAGAAACAGUAUGGAUGAUCUUAACAGUAUAAACAUGUAACAAAUAUUUUAUUUGUUACAUUUUUGUUACAUUAAAAUAUAAUAAG